ACACAGUGAUGUGUUGUAUGAAGAGUAUGGACUUGUUUGGAAAGCAAAGAGGGGACAGUUGGCCAUAGAAUUUGGCUGUGUAGGUUCUAGGAAUGUCUCAAAUAUUUUUUUUCCCAAUUUGAGCAGUAUUUUCCUAAUCAUGGGUUACUCCUUACUCACUUCUACUCUACACAGAAGUUGCUUAUGGUUUUUAAACCAUAAAGUACAUGGAGAAGUAUCAGUUCCCAGUAAGGAAAGAACAAAUGUUUCACUGGUCUGUGGAAAAAAAAAAAAAACUAUGUAUUUUUAGUUGUUCUUGGUCUUUGUCCUAGACCAUUUAGAACCAAAAUGGAACUAGGGAUUUUAGAAGGAAAUUGUGGAUCUUUGGUUCUGUGUUGGUAAUAUGGCCUACUAUGCUUUCCACAAUGAGACCCCCACUUGGGUGUGAGAGCCCUGGUCAUUGAAGGGAUAGUACUUCAUUCACCCACCUACCCAACUUUAACAGGAUGAGUAAUCCUCCAUUCCAAGGAAGAAAUGUCAUUAGGGGUUCCGUAUAGUGAGUGGUAAGGGUGCUGGGAAGAGAUCCCAUGAGCAUUCUGCACCAGCCCUCCCAGAGCAUGAAGAAGCCAGUGUAACAUAGGAACACAGGAGAUGACAUGAAAGGAGGGCAUUCCUGACGGAUGGGCUUUCUAGUUGGCAGAGGACAAGACACCAGGUCUUCUGCAGCAUUGAGUCCUUGCCAUGUGCUGAUGUGCAGUACCAUGCAGAGCUACUACUGUCACCAGAAUUUCCCAACAGCACCUUCAGCAUAAUAAGGAUUUAAAUUUUCAUUCUCAAAUACAAUUUCCAAUAUGAGAAUUCCAGGAGUCUUAGGUGGAAACUACUCUGCUUCAUUGGUUGGAACUAAACAUUAUUCAUUGUGAGGUAGUCAGCAGAAUUAUUUCCUUUGGGGAAAAGCCAUAUCCAUGAGUUGCUAAGAAUGAUUCUUAAAUGAGAUUCACUUUGCAACUUGGUCAGAGUCCAUUCUGGCCAUUGGAAACCACAUACUGAGUGAUUUGUGAUUUGGCUGUUUCUCAGCAGCAUGCUGACUAGGAAUGACUUCUUCUUAAUGCAGCUGAGCACUAUGUUGCACAGGGGCCCAGGAUGCUUAAUGAAGGAUAACCAGGAGGAUGCUGGGUUGUAUAUGAGAACCAGUGAGGCACUGUGUGUAGGAAAGAUUUCCUCUGAAACAUCCGAGACCCACCAACAUUCCCUGACCUGGUGCCCUUAGAAUUGAGCCUCCCAUCAGAUCCCAUGCCAUGGCCUUCACAGAGUCCAGUGUUGCCCUGACUGACAAUGAAGUAGGGCAGAAAGGCAGGCAUGUCAUUGCAGUGUGAGCUGUCAACGAGGCAUGACUCUCUGAAGUAGACUUGAGUUCCCUAAUUUGUAUAAACCAGUGACUUUGACCACCCUUUCUGUGACUAAGUAAAUCACACAAUGCACAGAAGUCCCAGUAUCUUUUACCACCAUUUCUAGAUGGCCUACUGAAAAGAUAGAGUGGGGAGGGAUGGCCCCAACAAGGUUGGUGGGAGGACAGAUGCUCCAGGAGUGGGUGUAAGCAGUGGUCUGGAUAGAGGGAGAUUCCCCAGCUGUUGCUGGUGUUCCAUUUUCUCCAAUUGAUUUGACUCGUUGGCAUAUUGCCAGGGUCACUCAUUUUCUCAUUAUUCAUUUGUCUUUGACCAAAAGCAGAUGGUAUGGGCCCCUCCCCUGUUGAAGGGUAAACUAGAAUUUACCCAGUUUAUACAGUUUAUCCUAACUGAAUCCAUCAGUCCCCUGAUUUGGCCCUGGCUGUGUCUGCAGUCUCUCUCCAACCUCCCUCACUGACUCUCGGGUCUCCAAAUCACCAGCCUCUUCCUUGACUUAGUCUUCAAAAGUGUGCCCCCACCUCUUCCCUUCCAAGACCUUUGUCUAACUGACUGUUCUACUCAGCCUGGAGGUCUCAAAGAGAAAGGUCUUCCCUGACAGCUGGAGCCCAGCAUUUUCCUCUUGCCAGUAUCAUGACCUUUAAUUAUGUAGUGAUUUACACGAGUGCAUGUUUACAUUAUGAUUUUUUUAUUAGAUGCUACACUCCAUGAAGGCAGAUCCACGUCUAUCCCCCUUUUUUCCGAUAGCCCAGCAUGUGCCUGAAUGGCUGUGCUGACCUUAUCUGCCAAGGAUCCUGUUGCUCAGAGAGCUGGCAUCUACCUGGGGAGACACACAGGUAAACAGAGAGUCCUGCAGGCACCAGCAUACUUAGGCUCUUCUUCUUCAUCCAUGGUCUUCUCCUUUCCUCCAGUAAAUUAAUAUAGACUCUUAACCUCGUAUAGGACAUGGGGUUAAGAGACAAAAGGAAAAGGCUGGCAGAGAGUCAGGUAUAAAAUCAAAGAAGCAAAUGCUUGCUGUUAUUUGUCACAGUGCUUGAUACAUGUAAGAUAUGGGGUGAAAUCAGCUCUAAACACACUCUUGGUGCUCCUUGGUACUGAGCCCCUUCCAGAGGACCCCAAAGUGGUGGUGUCUGAGCAGUCCACAUUUGCAGGAGCUUCCAGCCUUGCUCCUUGGCCACUUCCCCCGCCCCCCCAGGAGUCUUUAAGUAAGUUCUGCCCUCCCCACAUAAGAAUAGUACACUAUACAUUUUCUUGAGAAAAGUUCACACAGAGCCAAGACAUGAAAACAUUUUAAAACUUUUAAUUUAAAUUCAAUUUAGUUAACAUAUAUUGUAUUAUUAGUUUCGGGCAUAGAAUUUAGUGGUUCAUCAGUUGCAUAUAAAAUAGAACUACCCUACAACCCAGCAAUUGCACUACUAGAUAUUUAUCAAAAGGUUACAAACAUAGUGAUUCGAAGAGGCCCAUGCACCCCAAUGUUUAUAGCAGCAAGGUCCACAAUAGCCAAAGUAUGCAAAGAGCCCAGAUGUCCAUUGACUGAUGAAUGAAUAAAGAAGACGUGGUGUAUAUGCACAGUGGAAUACUACUCAGCCAUCGGAAAGAAUGAAAUCUUGCCAUUUGCAAGAACAUGAAGAUUUUUAAAAUCUUCUACUAAAGAUUAAAAAGACUGUCAUAAUUAAUGUAGUGUAAGGAAGCUAAAGGGCUGGACCUCAAAAUAUUCACAUAAAUGAUACUAACGAACCCUGAUAAACUUAUUUUUUAAUAUCAGGAUCUAUUAUUUGAACGAUUGAAUAAUCUUUCAGGAGGGUUGCAAAAAGCUGUAUUCAGCUUGGAAGUAUACUUGGUGUCACUUCUCUGUGCCUGUUGGGUAAUAAGAUCCCAGACAGGAAUACAAAGCUAACUAUUCUGUUUAACCUUUCUUUCCCGGGCUAAAGAUGUUUUGCUGAGACAUUAAUAUACAGGCAAGUUGAUUCUUCAUUAAGUAAUGUAUUAAUCUUAACAUAUAUGAAUAUAUCAUAUAUAUUUAAUAUGUUUUUAUAUCUUUUCUCUCAUACAGAAAUGAAUUUCUUAGACUAAUUGGACAUCUUUGCACUUAAAGUAAUAGAAUCUGGCAAGAGCUUUUGGCAAAAAUAUAUGUAUCACAUCAUUUUUAUCCACAUUUAUCUAUCAAUGGACACUUCAGUUGCUCUAAUUUCUUAGCUAUUAUAAAUGCUGCAAUAAAAAUUGGGGCAUAUAUCUUUUCCAAUUUUGCAUAUAUUUUUUCAAAUUAGCAUUUUUGUUUUAUUUGGGUAAAUACCCAGUAGUGCUAUUCCUGCAUCAUAUGGUAAUUCUGUUUUUUAAGGCACUUCCAUCCUGUUUUCCACAAUGGUUGCAUCAUCUUACAUCCCCACCAAAAGCAUAUAAGGGUUCCUUUUUCUCCAUGUCCUUGCCGAAAUUUGUUAUUUUUUGUGUUUUAGAUUCCAGCCAUUCUUACAGGUAUAAGGUGAUAUCACUUUGUGCUUACAAAAUAA
rnacentral:lncRNA from 1 species